AGUGAACGCUGGCGGUAGGCCUAACACAUGCAAGUCGAACGGCAGCACAGUAAGAGCUUGCUCUUACGGGUGGCGAGUGGCGGACGGGUGAGGAAUACAUCGGAAUCUACUUUUUCGUGGGGGAUAACGUAGGGAAACUUACGCUAAUACCGCAUACGACCUACGGGUGAAAGCAGGGGAUCUUCUGACCUUGCGGGAGUGAAUGGGCGGAUGGCGGAUUAGCUAGUUGGGGGGGGAGAGGCCCACCAAGGCUGCGAUGGGUAGCUGGCCUGAGAGGGUGAACGGCAACAUGGGGACUGAGAGACGGCCCAGACUCGUACGGGAGGCAGCAGUGGGGAAUAUUGCACAAUGGGCGGAAGCCUGAUGCAGCAACGCCGCGUGCGGGAUGACGGCCUUCGGGUUGUAAACCGCGUUCGCCUGUGACGAAGCGUGAGUGACGGUAAUGGGUAAAGAAGCACCGGCUAACUACGUG
rnacentral:rRNA from 1 species